AGUCCUCUGGCCAGGGCAGCGGGGCAAAGAGCGGGGGAAGGAAAGAAGAACGGAGCAGCCGGGUUAGACAGAUGGCUUCAGUCACUAAGUAGACUUUAGCCUGCAACUUAGUCUCUUAUGUGUAGAUAAAAUGUAAACUCCAUGAGGGAAGGUGUAUGCCCAGAGCCUAACAAAAUCCCUAAUCCAAAGUGGCCUAAAUAUAGGCUUGUUGAAGUCUGAAGAAGAGAAAGAAAACUGCUCCCUUCUCUCUACGGGUACUAUAAGACUCAGCUGAUAAUGUUGCACUGUUCCCACUACAACUCACUGCCUCCCUUGGAAGAGCUACCAUUUUAGAGUAGCUUCCUGUAGAUGCCAAUGAAUAUUCCAGAUGUCCACAUGCUCGGGAGAGAUGACCCUGCCUGUGAAAGGACCCAUCUCAGUGCCUGCUUUGAUCCAAGUCUUGGAGAAGAU